rnacentral:tRNA from 1 species
ACGAUUAUGGCGAAAUUGGUAAACGCGCUAUAUUUAGGAUAUAGUUAUUCUGGAGGUUCAAAUCCUCUUAAUCGUA